CGGCACUGAGGUGGGGAGGGGAGCUGGAGGGGGAGCCCUCCUCCAUAGAUGACACUAGUGGGUCCUGGGCAAGGGCAAGGCAAGUGGGAGCCACGCUCUUAGACUGUCAUUGAGCCAGCCCUGGGCCACACAAACAAUGCCAUCACCACUCUCUGGAAAGGAGCUUUCCCUGACAGCUCCUGAAGGUCGCCCAUGAUGUACAGAAGUAGGACAGUCUUCUGGAUCCCAAAGUUAUGCUGAGGGUCAUUGGAGCUGCCCCUUGGUCAACAACCCAGGUCAUGCAUAAUCUCCAAACAGAAGGCGGUGUUCCUGACUCACCGAGGGGCCUGGGGGACAAAGAGAAAGCAGGACCCUUCGCUGCACUGAGAUGGGACUGGGAAGCGGUAAAACCUGCCCGGUGCACCCAUCUGAGAAACAGAAAUGUGGAACAUGUGGCGGGAUGUGGUGCACAUUUAGGGUGGAGGGGCUGAGGCUACACCAGAGGGCCUUGUACACCUUGCUGAGGAAGGUGUCCUUAGAGACAGCGACAGGCCACUGGAGGGUCUCACCCAGGGGACAGCUGUGAGUUACCAUGUGAGAAGAAUCUAGAACUGGGAUUCCUUCUGCUGCCCACUAGAUGAUGGGCCGAGUUGGUGGUGUUUCUAUCAUCAUUCUCUCUCCAGUGCUCUGUCCAUGACCCCAGACUGAUCCUGGGGUCCUGAUUCUCUUCCCCCUAGAAAGAAAUGAUACUGAAACACAUUGCUGGUGAGAAGUUGAGGAAAUGGGCUCUGUCUACAUGUUGGUGAGUGGGUUUACCUACCAGUGUCGGGGCUGGAGGACAGAAGAAGAAGCAUGGACAAGGAGCAGAGAAGUCACCAAUCAUCUCACUAACUGAAAACAGGAGGCUUAAGAAACGGUCCGAAUUUGCCAUUUCCAGUUUGCAAAAAAGAAGGGCCAAGUUGGAUGCUCUUGGUGCGUGUGAACCCUGGUGUAUGGUCCCAGGUCAUCAUCACAGAUGCCAAGGGGAUUUUUUCCAAAGCCCAGCUCUGGCUGCAAGCUCUCUUCCGCAGGAUCCUUCUCUGCUACAGGGUAAAGUCUCAGCGCUGGCAAAAGGCAGACAACGCUCUCCGCCAUCCAGCCCCGACACACGUGUCCAUCUCAUCUCCACGGCUUCCCUCCACCCCAUGCCAUGUGCGUGGGGCACAUGGUGACAGUGUAGUGGGGAAGAGCACGAACACCAGAGCUAGCCUGCCGGGUUUGGAGUCCCAGUCCACCACUAAUCAACUCUGAUCAUAGGCAAGUGGUCAUAGGCAAUCUCAUCUGGGUAGAAGGAUGAAGGGGGCCAGCGUACCCGAAAUCAAAGAGCAGUGCCCGAUGUUGGUGCUACAUCAAUGUUUGCUAGUAUUAUUACCAUUUCUGCUAUUUCUGGACAGUCCCACUUCCUAUUUCUCCAUGCUUUUCCCUUCCAGAGACUUCUGCCCCAAUGUCCUUCCUAUCUCAUGUGCCCGACAAAUUCCUUUUCAACUUUCAAGGCUCCUGUCACCUCCUCCAUGAAGCUAUCUCUGAUCUUUCAUGACCCCAUCCAUUUUCCCGAGAGCCCUUGGCAUUCACUUCCCAUCUGAGGUCACAGAUCUCUGUUCACAUUUCUGUCUCCCUAUAAGCAAGCAGGCCCCCAUCUUAUCCCUGUCUCCCCAGUCCUUGGCACACAGUAGAUGUGCAAUAAGUAUUUCCUGAAUGAACCUCCAUCUCCCAUCCUAGACUACAGGGUCCCCCAAAAUGGGACCACAUCUCAAUCACCUCUGUGCUCUGUUCUUAACUGAGCAUCUUGAAUUUUUUCUACCAUCCAUUGUCUGCACUCUUCAGCCAACCCUGCGAGAGUCCCAGAUCUCUGGUCAGUCUCUGAAGAAUUCUGAUCUCAGACAUUGGUUCUUGCCUGGUGAAUGCUGGAAAGAUCAGUAUUUGACCUGUCGUCUACUCUUGCUAUGUGCCAACCCUCACACUCUUUUGUCAACAAUUUAUAGCCAUGGGUAGAGAAUUUAGAGAGUGUUUGGAAGAUUGACACAAAAAACAAAUGGACAGCUUUUCUUGUGACCCCAGUGCCCGCAGAAUGCCAAUAUGCAUAUGAUUUAUUUAAAUAGGUCCUGGGUUAGCAAGAGUCUGGAGAACUU
ensembl:lncRNA